CUAAGUAUUUACCUUUUUGUCUACAAAUAUUAUUUCUGAAGUCUCACCAAACCUGGGAUUGGAUGGUUUCCAGGUAUGCACCAUUUUGGCGCUUGGAUAAGCCACACCGUUUUCUAUGGUUUAAUAUCAUCAAGAAUCCAAAGUUCGUGAGGAGAACACAGGAAUUUAAAUGUUCAAGUGUCAGUGCUGAUGGAACAUGAUGAAUUAAAUUUCAAUAUACAAUUUUCUGAACAUAUAAAGUUAACAAAAAAGUUUAUUUAAUCUUUUUUGAUGGCUACGAUCGAAGGAAGGACUUUGA